rnacentral:rRNA from 1 species
GACGUAGGGCGCGAGCGUUGUCCGGAUUUAUUGGGCGUAAAGAGCUCGUAGGCGGCUUGUCGCGUCGACUGUGAAAACCCGCGGCUCAACUGCGGGCUUGCAGUCGAUACGGGCAGGCUAGAGUUCGGUAGGGGAGACUGGAAUUCCUGGUGUAGCGGUGAAAUGCGCAGAUAUCAGGAGGAACACCGGUGGCGAAGGCGGUUCUCUGGGCAUGUUCUGACGCUGAGGAGCGAAAGUGUGGGGAGCGAACAGG